GAAAUGCGAUAAGUAAUGUGAAUUGCAGAAUUCAGUGAAUCAUCGAAUCUUUUAACGCACAUUUCGCCCGCCAGUAUUCUGGCGGGCAUGCCUGUUCGAGCGUCAUUUCAACCAUCAAGCCCCCGGCUUGUGUUGGGGACCUGCGGCUGCCCGCAGGCCCUGAAAAACAGUGGCGGGCUCGCUGUCACACCGAGCGUAGUAGCAUACAUUCUCGCUCAGGGCGUGCUGCGGGUUCCGGCCGUUAAACGACCUUCAUAACCCAAGGUUGACCUCGGAUCAGGUAGGAAGACCCGCUGAACUUAAGC
rnacentral:misc_RNA from 1 species